AAGAAAGCUUGCUUUCUUUGCUGGCGACCGGCGCACGGGUGAGUAACACGUAUCCAACCUACCCUUUACUCGGGGAUAGCCUUUCGAAAGAAAGAUUAAUACCCGAUAGCAUAAUGAUUCCGCAUGGUUUCAUUAUUAAAGGAUUCCGGUAAAGGAUGGGGAUGCGUUCCAUUAGGUUGUUGGUGGGGUAACGGCCCACCAAGCCUUCGAUGGAUAGGGGUUCUGAGAGGAAGGUCCCCCACAUUGGAACUGAGACACGGUCCAAACUCCUACGGGAGGCAGAAUG
rnacentral:rRNA from 1 species